GACGAACGCUGGCGGCGUGCUUAACACAUGCAAGUCGAACGGAAAGGCCCCUUUGGGGGUCCUCGAGUGGCGAACGGGUGCGUAACACGUGAGUAACCUGCACUUGACUUCGGGAGAACUUCAGGAAACUGGGGCUAAUACUGGAUAGGCAUCCUUGCUGCAUGGUGGGGGUUGGAAAGCGUCGGCUGUUUUGGAUGGACUCGCGGCUUAUCCGCUUGUUGGUGGGGUAGUGGCUUACCAAGGCUUUGACGGGUAGCCGGCCUGAGAGGGCGACCGGCCACAUUGGGACUGAGAUACGGCCCAGACUCCUACGGGAGGCAGCAGUGGGGAAUAUUGCACAAUGGGCGGAAGCCUGAUGCAGCAACGCCGCGUGCGGGAUGACGUCCUUCGGGUUGAAAACCGCUUUCAGCAGGGGCGAAGCUUGUGGUGACGGUACCUGCAGAAGAAGCACCGGCUAACUACGUG
rnacentral:rRNA from 1 species